rnacentral:lncRNA from 1 species
CAAGUAGUGACCAGACUGUGUGGAAACUUUGUCCAUGCUAACAUUCCUCGGGGGUGGUGUCAAUUGUCGUCAUCUGUAGGAAAGCAGUGUGUCGUACAAUGAAUCAUACCCAUCAACGUGGUAGUGCCAUUUCAUGGCCCUCGUCUUUGCAACCCUGGGAAACAUGGCAACAAAUUGAACAAACACGGGAACAGCUGCAGCAGGCAGAGCUCACCUUUAGAUACCAGUUCACGAGAAGAAUGCUCAGGACAACUAGACUGGACGGGAUGGAAGCAAAGAGGCUGCCUGAGGGAUACACGAGGCAGAAACCAAUCACUGCAAGAACCCUCCAAGGCGAGGUCCUGGGCCAAGGUGCAGAGGCGGUACCACAGACCAUUGUGAUGCAAGGGGAAUGUGUCUGCUGCCAUUACCACAAUCCUCAAGUUGCUCAGGAUCUCAUCUUCGUCUUUUCCCCCACCAUGGAAUUUCAGCUCAUUUUUCCAGAGGACACAAUUACCCUGCAAAGUGUACUGCACUUAAGCUGAGAAGUACCUCCGAAGUAAAAUAACUUAGCUGAACCCAACUAACAGGCUAUUUUGUAUGCAAGAGUCCUGGUCCUUUCCCAGGAUUGCCUUGCAGGCUGUGCCCCGUGGACCACCCUUCACCACCAGUCAUGGGCUAUAGGCCACAUCCCCCUCCUCCACCUACUCUGUUUGUUAAGAUGACCUGAACUGGCUGAGUGUAUAUUCAUCUUCCUCAUGAUUGACUUUGUGGCAAUGAUGUAGAGAUAGUUGUGAGUCUUGGCAAUCCAACUACAAACUGCCUGAGGACACUGUAGCAUAUCUCAAGUUUCUCAGGACAUACAUACAAUGGGCAGUGUCAUGUCCCUGUAAUACAGUGAGCUAUACGUUUCUCUUGUCAAAUGAAAGAGGAUUUUUUACACAAAAGCAGACGUAGCCGCAGUACUGGGGCGUAUGUUGGAGACACAAUGUGUUGGGUUCUCUAACUUUUAGAGCAUCAAGUGUCCUGUGUGAAAGAGGGACAUUCAUUAAAUGGUUCAGACCUUGUAAUCACCAAAAUGGAAACACCAGUGAAGGAUCCAGGGCAAAAACGGGGGAACCUUGAAUCAUACAGGAAUAGAAGGGAAGUUGAGCACAGUAAGCAGAGUUUGAGGAGGUGCAGAGGGGAGGGUGUUGGGGUCAGUGAGAUGCAGUUGGAGGUCAUUCCUGGCCACAGCCUGAGCAGGGAGUGUGAGGUCCAUAUGGAGCUGCUAUGUGGGAUCGCUCUCAGUGCACAAUGAACCGUUCAUCUCCAAAAUGUCACUGUGUUGCCAAAGUGCACACAGGUAAUCAUCUAAAAAGAUUGUUGUCUCCCUGGAUUUUCCUGAAGCUUCUGGUAUUUGUGGGGGGAAAAGAGCCCUGGAGAUAUGGGGAGUUUAACUUGGUCUUAUGAAAAUACUGUAUGCCCAAGUUCAUAUCCCUCAGUGAGACUAAAAGUGGAUACAGAGUCUAGAUCAGCUGAGUCAUCCUACAAUUCAGGGCUGGCCAGAUGCCACCACUACUGGACCCCUGUCAUCACCCUGACUACAGC